GAUGAAGAACGUAGCGAAAUGCGAUAAGUAAUGUGAAUUGCAGAAUUCAGUGAAUCAUCGAAUCUUUGAACGCACCUUGCGCCCUUUGGCUAUUCCGAAGGGCAUGCCUGUUUGAGUAUCAUGAACACCUCAACUCUCAUGGUUUGCCAUGAUGAGCUUGGACUUUGGGGGUCUUGCCGGCCUAUGGGUCGGCUCCUCUCAAAUUAAUCAGCUUGCCAGUGUUUGGUGGCAUCACAGGUGUGAUAACUAUCUACGCUUGUGGUUUUCCAUCAGGUAACCUUCAGUGAUGGGGGUUCGCUGGGGCUCAUAAAUGUCUCUCCUCAGUGAGGACAGCUUUUUUGAACGUUUGAUCUCAAAUCAGGUAGGACUACCCGCUGAACUUAAGCAUAUCAAUAAGCGGAGGA
rnacentral:misc_RNA from 1 species